rnacentral:snRNA from 1 species
GAGACGUCGGCGGGGGCC